GCCCGCCAGUGAAAAUCGAUUUUCACUGGCGGUUUUAUUACGCCGACCGCCAGUGAAAAUCGAUUUUCACUGGCGGUC
rnacentral:pre_miRNA from 7 species